rnacentral:rRNA from 1 species
AUUGAACGCUGGCGGCAUGCCUUACACAUGCAAGUCGAACGGUAACAGGCCGCAAGGUGCUGACGAGUGGCGAACGGGUGAGUAAUGCAUCGGAACGUGCCCAGUCGUGGGGGAUAACUGCUCGAAAGAGCAGCUAAUACCGCAUACGAUCUAUGGAUGAAAGCGGGGGACCGUAAGGCCUCGCGCGAUUGGAGCGGCCGAUGUCAGAGUAGGUAGUUGGUGGGGUAAAGGCUCACCAAGCCAACGAUCUGUAGCUGGUCUGAGAGGACGACCAGCCACACUGGGACUGAGACACGGCCCAGACUCCUACGGGAGGCAGCAGUGGGGAAUUUUGGACAAUGGGGGCAACCCUGAUCCUGCAAUGCCGCGUGCAGGAAGAAGGCCUUCGGGUUGUAAACUGCUUUUGUACGGAACGAAACGGUCUGGGUUAAUACCCUGGGCUAAUGACGGUACCGUAAGAAUAAGCACCGGCUAACUACGUGCCAGCCGCCGCAGUAACAC